GUCAUUCUCAUCUUGUCCCUCGUCCCACAGAUCCUGCAGCUGUUCAAUGAUGUGGAUAUUAACUUCAUCCCCUGAUCUCUACAACUCUAGAAUUCUGGUACAUAGAGUAAAGAACAAAGACAUCAAAGGGGAGCUACAGCCAGGCCAGUAUAUAUAGAAUAGAAUAGACCUUUAUUGCCAUUGGUCUGUUAGCAACUCUUCCGUGUGCAGCAUUAAAACGAAUGGAAGAGCAUGAAUAUAUAAUAUGAGUGUCCUGAUGUCAAUGGGGAGCUCCAUCCACCAUUGAGGAACCAGGACAGCAAACAGACAGGCAGCCCACCCUUCGCAGUGAGGCACCAGCAAGUGGUUUGGCAGACGGGCUGGGGUGUAAGGUUUGACCAUGUUCUGGAUAUUAGAAGAGCCUGAAACCAUUCCCAGCAUGGUGCGCAAGUACCAGUGCCUUGAAUCGGAUUCAAGCCACCACCGGAAGCCAGUGCAGAGUGCGGAGAAGCGAUGUAGUAUGGGAGAAUUUUGGUAGGUUGCAGACCAACCGGUCCGCUGCAUUCUGGAUGAGCUGCAGAGGUCAGAUGGCACAUGUUGGCAGGCCAUCUAGGUAAGAGUUGCAGGAGUCCGUUUUGUAGAUGGUGCGGCCUUCUAGCUCGAUAGGGAUGUCUGGGGUGCUCGGGUCGAACCAAGUCUCAGUAAUCAUCAUCACACAGCAGUCUAGGCUGUGGGAGGUGAUCCACAGUCUUAUCUCAUCCUCUUUGUUGUUGAGUGACUGCGAUGGCAAAAUAGAGGCUCGGGAUGGCAGGUUUGAAGCAGUUAGCCUUUUGCCCUGCCCGUAGCCUCGCUCUUUUUUUUCCUGUGUCACCAUCUGCGCUGCCAUCUCUUCUCGACCAUCAAAGCUUCUCAUUGUGUGUUAUCCCCCAGGCUUGCUCAUUCAUUCAAGUUUACUGCACCUGGCUGAGCACACAUCUAACUGGCAUGAUGUCAUCACUCUGAUAGAAGGUUGUCACAACGAUCAAAAAUGAAUAAAUGGCAUAAUAUAAUUUGUCCUGGUCAUUCCAUUCCUCAGAUGCUCUAAAGUUUCUCAAAUAAGCACCACUAUGUGAGUUUCGGAGGUUAUUAUCAAGGACUGGUAUAUAUUGAAAAGCCUCAUGACUCUACCAAGCUCGGGUCCUCCUCUGCACAGUCCGAAAUUCAACCCAUCACAUUUGCAUGUCACGUGGGGAAAGUUCUGGCAAUGCAAACGCAUUUCGGCAGCACAACAAUUUUUAGUGUUUGUACAUUUAGAGAAUUUGGUGUAAUUAGUAAUACAUUGCAGACAUAUAUAUAUAUAUAUAUAUAUAUAUAUAUAUAUAUAUAUAUAUAUAUAUAUAUAUAUAUAUAUAUAUAUAUAUAUGAAUAUUUAAUAAUAUUUAUUUUUUUCAACCCACUGCACAUUACUUUUGCACUCUGUAUAUAUGUACAUAGCUUUUUGAAAACAGUUUGUUCCUGUAUUUUUAAUUGUACUUUUUGCUUCCCUGUGUAAUACUGUGCUGCUGUGACAAGUGAAUUUACCCGAGCGGGAUGAAUAAAGUUUUCUAUUCUAUUCUAUUCUA